rnacentral:rRNA from 1 species
GCUCCGCUUGCUGGGGUGGAUGAGUGGCGAACGGGUGAGUAAUACGUGAGUAACCUGCCCUUGACUCUGGGAUAAGCCUGGGAAACCGGGUCUAAUACUGGAUACGACUCCUCAUCGCAUGGUGGGGUGUGGAAAGGGUUUUACUGGUUUUGGAUGGGCUCACGGCCUAUCAGCUUGUUGGUGGGGUAAUGGCCUACCAAGGCGACGACGGGUAGCCGGCCUGAGAGGGUGACCGGCCACACUGGGACUGAGACACGGCCCAGACUCCUACGGGAGGCAGCAGUGGGGAAUAUUGCACAAUGGGCGCAAGCCUGAUGCAGCGACGCCGCGUGAGGGAUGACGGCCUUCGGGUUGUAAACCUCUUUCAGCAGGGAAGAAGCCACAAGUGACGGUACCUGCAGAAGAAGCGCCGGCUAACUACGUGCCAGCAGCCGCGGUAAUACGUAGGGCGCAAGCGUUGUCCGGAAUUAUUGGGCGUAAAGAGCUCGUAGGCGGUUUGUCGCGUCUGCUGUGAAAGCCCGGGGCUCAACCCCGGGUCUGCAGUGGGUACGGGCAGACUAGAGUGCAGUAGGGGAGACUGGAAUUCCUGGUGUAGCGGUGAAAUGCGCAGAUAUCAGGAGGAACACCGAUGGCGAAGGCAGGUCUCUGGGCUGUUACUGACGCUGAGGAGCGAAAGCAUGGGGAGCGAACAGGAUUAGAUACCCUGGUAGUCCAUGCCGUAAACGUUGGGCACUAGGUGUGGGGGACAUUCCACGUUCUCCGCGCCGUAGCUAACGCAUUAAGUGCCCCGCCUGGGGAGUACGGCCGCAAGGCUAAAACUCAAAGGAAUUGACGGGGGCCCGCACAAGCGGCGGAGCAUGCGGAUUAAUUCGAUGCAACGCGAAGAACCUUACCAAGGCUUGACAUCCACCGGACCGCACUGGAGACAGUGCUUCCCUUCGGGGCUGGUGGACAGGUGGUGCAUGGUUGUCGUCAGCUCGUGUCGUGAGAUGUUGGGUUAAGUCCCGCAACGAGCGCAACCCUCGUUCUAUGUUGCCAGCACGUGAUGGUGGGGACUCAUAGGA